rnacentral:rRNA from 1 species
CCUACGGGUGGCAGCAGUGAGGAAUAUUGGUCAAUGGACGCAAGUCUGAACCAGCCAUGCCGCGUGCAGGAAGACGGCUCUAUGAGUUGUAAACUGCUUUUGUACGAGGGUAAACGCAGAUACGCGUAUCUGCCUGAAAGUAUCGUACGAAUAAGGAUCGGCUAACUACGUGCCAGCAGCCGCGGUAAUACGGAGGAUUCAAGCGUUAUCCGGAUUUAUUGGGUUUAAAGGGUGCGUAGGCGGUCUGAUAAGUUAGAGGUGAAAGCCCGAGGCUCAACUGCGGAAUUGCCUUUGAUACUGUUCGGCUAGAGAGUAGUAGAGGUGGGCGGAAUGUAAGGUGUAGCGGUGAAAUGCUUAGAGAUCAGGCAGAACACCGAUUGCGAAGGCAGCUUACCAGGCUGCUACUGACGUUGAGGCACGAAAGCGUGGGGAGCAAACAGGAUUAGAUACCCUAGUAGUC